rnacentral:sRNA from 1 species
CUGCUAAUGUGCUGCGCGUUGUAGUCGAUUAAAGCAUUUUACAUAUUGAAUAUAAAUAUAAGACCUUUAAACUAAUUGGCCUUAAAAUAUUUCAAUUUUAAUGGUGGAAAAUUCAAAUUCAUCUUGGAAAACUCAAAUUGAAUAUAUUGCGUAUUUCGCAUAUCACGUUGACUACUGGGGUCAAAUUAACAUAGAAUUGCGUUACGCGGGCACAAAGUGGACAGAAAAAAUCAGCGCGCAGAAAGCAAUAAUAGUUCAUGCACAUGGGUAUAUUUAUGUAUGUAUGUAUUGGUCUGCAUAAACUGGCUUGUUACUGUGUGUCUGCUUAAACGUUAUCUUCAAAUUGAUCGCACUCCAUCAAAAUUUGUUGUUGCUCGUCGCUCCUAACAAGAAUUUACUUGAUCUCUUUUAUGUGUGUCGUUUCUUCGUCCGUUAUUUACAUGCAUGCAUGUAUGUAUGUAUGUGCGCAUAUGUAGAUAAUGCACAAGCACGCGCUUACACACGCUUACACACAUAUGUACAUACAUAUGCUCGCCCAAAUUGGACAGUCUUCUCUCACUCUGUGUUAGUUUUAUUCCAGAAGUCAAUUUGAUGCGCUGUUUUGUUGAGAAUUAAAGUCGUUUGAAGCUAUUGCAAAAUAUAAUUGGAAUGUCUCGGUCAAAUACCGUCCAAUUGGCGAUUUGUUUACCUUCUCGGACGCAUGCCUCCAGCUGGGGAACAGCAUUGCUCGGUUCUCUUUCGUAUCGCGUGGGCUUGGACAGCGAUUGAAUACUUAACCGAUCCCAUUGCUUAUUUUUCAUAUUGCAACACAUAAAUAUGCUCGAUAAAGACAAGGCGAGCCGGGAUCAACUCCUUUGUGCUAGUCUGCCAGAGAGGUCGGUGCAAUUAUGUGGUCGGAAUUAAAAAGGGGUUUCUGCUCUAUCUCGCCCGUCUGCCGCUGCCAUUAGGAUGAGGACAUGGCUUGUGGAUAUCUUUUGCCGACAACUCUGCACCUGCUGCUGCCGUUGCCACGCCCUACAGAUUUCUGGUAUUCACAGCUCCAAAUUGAGGGAUUCAAGGAUUCAUCGAUUUUAAGGACUUUCACAAGGCUUUUCUGCAAGAUUCAGGAAAAUCUGCAGCUUUCAAUGACAAAAUCAAAUCAAUAUUGUUGGUACCUAGUUGACCCACAUAUCCUUGGUUAUUCCAUACAAUGGAUAUAGUGAACCUAGAGGGCGAAUAUGGUCCAAAAAUAUGUAUGCUUUUUCAGCCGUCCCAUUUAAUUUCCCGCCCCUUGCUGGUUCCUAGUUGACUGAAAUAUCCUUGGUUCUACCAUACCAUCGAUAUAGUCCUUGGCAACCUACAACAAAUCCCUGCAAAAUUUGCAUUGAAAUUAACCAAAAGCAUUUAUUUUCCUUUUAGCAGCGCCUGUAAAUAACCAGCAGCUGCAGCUGCUAACUAACAGCCGAUCUUACAGCACUCAUUUUACAUUAACUGCUAUUUAACAUAACUCAUUUUACAUUUUUGCCCACACGGGUAUGCAACAAAAAUUUUUAUUCAAAAAAUUUCGUCGACCUUCUGAGCAUUUCUGUUCGCCUGGUACUUCAGCGGAAUUUCAGUACAAAUUGGGGACCCAGCCGCCGACGAGCGAGCCCCUUUCGGGUAUGCAACAGAAAAUUUUCGGACGCUGAAAAAUUUUGUCUACCUUCUAUAUAUUUCUGUUUGCCUGGUAUUUCAGCAGAAUUUCAGAAAAACCUCGGCAUCCGGCAACAGAUUUUUAACGACAGUUGAUUUUUGAAU